GACGAACGCUGGCGGCGUGCUUAACACAUGCAAGUCGAACGGAAAGGCCCUGCUUUUGUGGGGUGCUCGAGUGGCGAACGGGUGAGUAACACGUGAGUAACCUGCCCUUGACUUUGGGAUAACUUCAGGAAACUGGGGCUAAUACCGGAUAGGAGCUCCUGCUGCAUGGUGGGGGUUGGAAAGUUUCGGCGGUUGGGGAUGGACUCGCGGCUUAUCAGCUUGUUGGUGGGGUAGUGGCUUACCAAGGCUUUGACGGGUAGCCGGCCUGAGAGGGUGAACGGCCACCAUGGGACUGAGAGACGGACCAGAAUCCUACGGGAGGCAGCAGGGGGGAAUAUUGCACAAUGGGCGGGAGCCUGAUGCGACAACGCCGCGUGCGGGAUGACGGCCUUCGGGUUGUGAACAGCUUUCGCCUGUGACGAAGCGUGAGUGACGGUAAUGGGUAAAGAAGCACCGGCUAACUACGUG
rnacentral:rRNA from 1 species